UCCUACGGGGGGCAGCAGUGGGGAAUAUUGCACAAUGGGGGAAACCCUGAUGCAGCGACGCCGCGUGGGCGAUGGAGCGCCUCGGCGCGUAAAGCCCUAUCAGCAGGGACGAAGAUGACGGUACCUGACUAAGAAGCCCCGGCUAAAUACGUGCCAGCAGCCGCGGUAAUACGUAUGGGGCAAGCGUUAUCCGGAUUUACUGGGUGUAAAGGGAGCUCAGGCGGCCUGGCAAGCCUGUUCUGAACUAUCGGGGCCCAACCCCCGGGCUGCAUGGGGAAC
rnacentral:rRNA from 1 species